rnacentral:ncRNA from 2 species
CCACGACACUCUGGAAAGCGUUCCCCUUUCGCGAGGGGAACCACCGAAGGGGUAACCUCGCCCGGCGACGGCGCGGGGGAAAGCUCUCAGGUUCCGUGACAGAGGGGGAAAC